UCUGCACCAUCUGCCCUGUGUGGUGGGCCAAUGCCUCCACUCCAAUGGAGCUGUUGAAGGGAGAGUCUCCACUGCAGACCUCAGACUGCAGCAAGUCCCAAAAUCUUUCUCUUUGACCAGCUGAUGCCCUGACGUGAAUCCUACAUGAGUAACAGCAUGGAACUGCAUUGACCUCGAAGAGUCAGAGUCAAGCAGCAAACAAGACCUUAUGUGACAAAAUCUGAGGGGGAAAAUCAUCUUGUUUAAAGCAAUAUUUCAUGAAUAAACCAGAUGGAGAAACUGUGACUGGAUUUGUUUGGACACUAGCCAGAUGGAGGACCGGUUAUUCUGGCAGCCAGGAGGAAAGGGAGAGCAACCUAUGAGAAGCACAGCAAGGCCUCAGACAGA